GGCCUUAUGGUCUAGUAGCAUGAUUCCUGCUUUGGGUUCAUCUCAUAUGCAGGAGGUCCUGGGUUCAACUCCCAGUGAGGCCC